rnacentral:lncRNA from 1 species
AUGGGAGGAAAUACUCUUAGCCAUGGUUAUCUUUGGGUGAUUUUUUCCCACUUACUCUUGUUACUUAUAUUUUGCUUCAGAAUUAGCUACAAUGGAAAUGAAAUAUAUAUAUAUAUAUAUAUAUAUAUAUAUAUAUAUAUAUAUAUAUAUAAUGGGCUUUUGAAAAAUCUGCAUCCUCUACUAAAGAAUGUUGCUGCCUAUCCCCUUAUUUUCUGCCGAGGGACACCGUUCAGAAGAAUUCUCUGUGAUGGGGAGAGAAAGGUCCACGGUAUCACUGAAGCAUUAAGAACAUGGAGACUCAAGACAGGAAGCCAAAGACCAAGGAACUUUGGGUCCUUGUUUUUCUCCCCCACAAGGAUACUGGAAUGUUAUUUUGCCAGACUUGGGAAUUUCCUGAAAGGAGUUAAAAAUAUCUCUCCUACCCAGAGCACCUUCGGAACGCAUCCUCUGAGAAAGCACGCUGCUGGAGUAGAACCACUAACCAGGCUCUCACCCCCAUCUUCUCUUCCACCCCCCGUCACUGCACCCCUUCGGAUUUGACAACUCUGUAGGAAACCAAUUUGCUGUUAAUCACAAGGGAGUUUUAUUUACUCUGUUGAAAGAAUUGAAAAGCAGUCAUUUUUAUUAGUGCCACAGCUGGUUCUUCCAUCAUGGAAGAAAUACAAUUAUGCGUCUUCCUAUGGCUGAAUGCAGACGGCUACAACCUCAUUAUUCAUUCUGGUAGGAAGCAGGCCUUUAUAAUGAGCAGGGGAAAAAAUGCACUGACCCCUCAUUUAUAAAAGGAACAAAUCUCAGUUUCUGGAAUGACAUCGCCACUGCCACCAUAGAAAGAAAGGCUUUUUAUUUUUUUGGUUACAUAAUAGGGAGCGAUAGCUUUAGAGGCCCGGCUGAGGCAGUCAUUAUGGCAGAGUGGAAAGAGUGUAGACUUUGGCCUUGGGCCAGCCUGGGUUCAAACCUCAGAUCUGCUUCUUAUCAGCUCCGGAUAGAGGGCGUGUUAAUUCUUCCGAGCGUCCAUUUUCUUAUCUGUAAAUUGGAAAUACGGGUAUCCCCUGCUUUCCCAAAGUUCGUGUUGUGCCACUUGGCUUUCGUGAAAGACCUUACAUGAGUACUCGUUUUUGCUAACCGAAAGAAACCGGAAGGGGAGUUUGUCGCUUCUGGGAAUAAAAGCAAAAAAGCAAAAAAAAGCA